GCUGCCAUUAUAAAAACCAGAUGAAGAUAGGUUUGUAUGCCCAUAAUUUGUGGGUUAGAUGUCCUGCAUGUCGGGUGACUGCAGUAGUACAACUCUAAAUGUGGCUAGUCUGACUACUACAGUUUCCUUUUGUCCUCUUCUCCCUCUUGUCUUUAAAAAUGUCUCCUGUUUCAAAUCCUUGGUCGUUUUUCUCUCUGCCACCUUCUCAAUAAUGAGAGCAGGGCCGAGUGAAUAUGGCCUCCUGAAUGCUGCAUCGGAUGUCACCAAGCUGAGAUGAUGAAUGAGAAUGCUUUCAAUGGCCUGUGUAUGGGUGUAGAGUUCACCCUCAAUUAUGGCUGCUGGCAGCCAAUAGGUUCCAUAUUAUACUUCAGUGCUUCAUGAGAGUUACAGAGCAGGGAGAGCGAGGAAAAAGAGAAUUACAUUUAUUGGCACAGGAGGAAAUGAAUGUGGGAAGAAACCCAGAUGAACAUUUAUAGCAAGUGACAAAAGUGAGACUGUUUUUAACUUUUGCCAACAGUAGAUGUUGAACCAAGUUGGAUUUAUUAUCACGCACAUAUCUUUCAACAUUUGUUUCCUGAAGCAUAUCUUAGUCACCUGACCAACACGUUUUUGACUUUUAACGGGGUACCUGCAUGUCUUUUAUUUUAUUUUGUUCUUGAUGUUUUACAGGCCUGAAGGAGGAGAUGAAGACUCUGAAAAUAGAUCUCCAGAAAAAACACUGUAUGAUCGAGAGCAUGUAAAUAAACUCCUGGAGAUACAGUCCUUGGAGAAGGAGGAUCUGCGAGUAUUGUGGAGUGAACAGACGGCUGCCAUUGAGAGCAACAUGUGCUAAUGCCAACUCUGUUGGAAACAACUGUGAAUGUUAAGAAAUGAAGAAUGAAGAUCUGCUUAGACAACCAGCAUGUCAUCAUCCAAAACACAACAUUUAUCUUUUCAGCAAGGCUGUCCCAGAGACCUGAGGGAGAAGGAGGAGAGCUGGUUGUCAUGUCAACAACAAUGCAAGUCCAUGCAGGAGCAGCUGUUGUCGUGCCAACAGAAACAGGAGGUGGUGACCCAGAGACUACAAUGGGCAGAAGGUGAGAUGAAGGACCUGAGAGUGGCCCAAUCCACUUUACUGCAUGAGAGGUCUGUUAGACAAACACACUCAAUACUCACACUCUACAGCAACAGAGAAUAAAAAGUGUUGCUUGCUUUACACAAAUACAUGUGUGCAGCCACACUAUAGCUAUUAACCAUUUUUUUCUUUAA